GCCAGGUGUGGUGGUGUGCGCCUGUAAUCCCAGCUACUGGGGAGGCUGAGGCAGGAGAAUCACUUGAACCCAGGAGGCAGAGGUUGCAGUGAGCCAAGAUCACGCCACUGCACUCCAGCCUGGGUGACAGAGUGAGACUCCGUCUCAA
rnacentral:SRP_RNA from 1 species